ensembl:misc_RNA Metazoa_SRP Metazoan signal recognition particle RNA
GAUUCAAGAAAGACGGAAAACUUCAGAGAAAAUCAGAGUCAAUGAGCUUGAUGCCAUGAGGGAUCUACUUCAACUGCACGUUAGAGACCAGCCGAUCAGGUGUCCGCACUAAGUUCGGAUAUGGUAAUCCUGGGGGAGCCCGGGACCACCAGGUCGUCUAAGGAGGGGUGCACCCAGCCCAGGUCGGAAACGGAGCAGGUCAGAGCCCCCGUGCCGCUCAGUAGUGGGAUCGCGCCUGUAAAUAGACGCUGUAGUGCAGCCUGAGUGAUACAGCAGGACCCGGUCUCUU